UAAUCUGCGAUAAGCGCCGGUAAGGUGAUAUGAACCGUUAUAACCGGCGAUACCCGAAUGGGGAAACCCAGUGUGACUCGUCACACUAUCAUUAACUGAAUCCAUAGGUUAAUGAGGCGAACCGGGGGAACUGAAACAUCUAAGUACCCCGAGGAAAAGAAAUCAACCGAGAUUCCCCCAGUAGCGGCGAGCGAACGGGGAGGAGCCCAGAGCCUGAAUCAGCAUGUGUGUUAGUGGAAGCGUCUGGAAAGGCGCGCGAUACAGGGUGACAGCCCCGUACACAAAAGCGCAUGUGCUGUGAGCUCGAUGAGUAGGGCGGGACACGUGGUAUCCUGUCUGAAUAUGGGGGGACCAUCCUCCAAGGCUAAAUACUCCUGACUGACCGAUAGUGAACCAGUACCGUGAGGGAAAGGCGAAAAGAACCCCGGCGAGGGGAGUGAAAAAGAACCUGAAACCGUGUACGUACAAGCAGUGGGAGCACAGGUUUACCUG
rnacentral:rRNA from 1 species